rnacentral:lncRNA from 1 species
AAAAGUAGAAAAUAGUAUUUGUUCAAGGUUUGUGUUCUUUACAUAAUCUAUUGUCUUUAUACAAAUAAAUCCUUUGUUAAUUCUAUAUAAGAAAACAAAUAAAUCUGAAGCAAUAGAGAACAUAUUGUAAUAUAAGGAUAUGCAACCUAGGUAAAACACCUUUUUUAACCGACUUAAAAGGGGUUUUUCAUAAUAGUGAAAUCUCUCUCUAGAUGCCAGACGCAC